GUUUUACCUUGACGAAUUGUAGUUUAAAGAAGUGUUUUCUGUUGGUGUUUUGGUAAAAGUUCUUUGGAAUAGGACAUCAUAGAGGGUGAGAAUCCCGUAUUUGACCAUUACUUCCAGCGUUGUGAUACACUUUCAAAGAGUCGGAUUGUUUGGGAAUGCAGUCCAAAAUGGGUGGUAAAUUUCAUCUAAAGCUAAAUAUUGGCGAGAGACCGAUAGCGAACAAGUACCGUGAGGGAAAGAUGAAAAGAACUUUGAAAAGAGAGUUAAACAGUACGUGAAAUUGUCAAAAGGGAAGCGUUUGACACCAGUGUUGUUUUCUCGAAAAUCAAUUAAAAAGAGUUGGAUUUUGUAUUGUUAAGACCCUAUCAGCUUACUGUACUUUUUUCUUGCUCUUUUU
rnacentral:rRNA from 1 species